rnacentral:rRNA from 1 species
CCUACGGGAGGCAGCAGUGGGGAAUAUUGCACAAUGGGGGAAACCCUGAUGCAGCGACGCCGCGUGGAGGAAGAAGGUCUUCGGAUUGUAAACUCCUGUUGUUGAGGAAGAUAAUGACGGUACUCAACAAGGAAGUGACGGCUAAACUACGUGC